UGACCGAGCCAUGCCGCGUGAGCGAUGAAGGCCUUAGGGUUGUAAAGCUCUUUCGCCAGGGAUGAUAAUGACAGUACCUGGUAAAGAAACCCCGGCUAACUCCGUGCCAGCAGCCGCGGUAAUACGGAGGGGGUUAGCGUUGUUCGGAAUUACUGGGCGUAAAGCGCGCGUAGGCGGAUUGGAAAGUUGGGGGUGAAAUCCCGGGGCUCAACCUCGGAACUGCCUCCAAAACUCCCAGUCUUGAGUUCGAGAGAGGUGAGUGGAACUCCGAGUGUAGAGGUGAAAUUCGUAGAUAUUCGGAAGAACACCAGUGGCGAAGGCGGCUCACUGGCUCGAUACUGACGCUGAGGUGCGAAAGUGUGGGGAGCAAACAGGAUUAGAUACCCUGGUAGUCCACACCGUAAACGAUGAAUGCCAGACGUCGGCAGGCAUGCCUGUCGGUGUCACACCUAACGGAUUAAGCAUUCCGCCUGGGGA
rnacentral:rRNA from 1 species